CCUUACGUUGUCGAGAAAAUAGCAUAGUAGCAUUCCGAAGAAGAGAAGGCAAUGCACAAGCUUUAUUCCAGUGAACAGGAAAUACACGUCACACGUUUUUUUCUUCACGUUCUAAAACCAUAUACACAUCACACAUGAAAUGGAAUACAAUUUGAACGAGGAAUACAAAUCAAGAGAACACUUCAUUCAUACUAUAAACAAGAACUCUGUACCCAUCCAGCAUGUUGCGCCUUCGUUUCGCUCAACGGCGAUCGUUCCCUGCGGCGUGCAGCUUGUUGCCGAUCCCAGGGCUGUGCCCAGGCGCCGUUCCACGGCUGUCGGUGGUCGCCACCCAGGUCGCCCCCGCGUAACCGCUGGCAGUACCCUGCACGGCAUGGCACCCCGCUGACAUGCAUGCCUCAUCGCCGUCGAUCUUGGCCGACGCCGCCAUCAGCCUCCUCGCCUCGCACGGGCACGUCGCCAGGUGGCUCGACACGACCAAGAUGAUCAGAAUGCAGCAGGUGCACGAGGAGACAUGCUUGGAACCUGCCAUGUAAGUGAAGAACCAACAAGUAACUAAGGUGGUCUUAAGACUCGGUAUGCUGCAGCUACUCUUCUUGCUUGGGGUUUUUAGCUUGGUUUGAGAGGUUUGCGCCCAGUGACAAUUUAUAGGGAGAGGGAGUGCUACGGCAUGCAAUAAAAAAUUUAAAACGAGACCAGCCGGGACACUAGCUUGGCGGCAUAUUUUUAUAGUGGAAGAAUGCAACCUGAGCACCCGCUGGAUCCUAGACUCUCGAACUUGGCUGGGUGGGCAGCGUGCGCACCCGCACAGCUUACCAACAACAGAGCGGCGCUCUGUUCUCUCAUGGCGUGCAAUAUUUUAAGUCACAGACAACACCUAUCUUACAGAUCCGAGAGGUAUAUAAACAUAGAAAGGUAGACAGCCCAGCUCCGUGCGAUCUAAAGGCUCCUCAAGACUCAAAAGGCCGCAUGAAGAAACAACCAUGAAGUACACCAUUGCCAUGGUGAACCAACAAACAUGCAUGUCAUUUUCGCCAGAGUCCAAUUUUUUCACAUGCAUGUGCCACAGUCAAGGAACUAAAUGUUCAUCUUCUAAACGUGCACAUUUGACUAUGGGAGGUUAGUGCUUCAGAAAAAAUAAGAGACAUGCAUGGACAGAUGCAGGGCAUGCGGUCUGCUAAACUCAAAUUGUUUUUGGAUUCUCAUGGAGAGAAAAACUAACAUCAUCAGAAAGGAAAAGUAACCCACUUAAGAGUUGAUGAGGAACACUUACUGCAAGGAUCUCGGAAAAGGGCAGCAUCGUUUGCAUGGCAUAAUCUGGGGAAUCUUCGUUGCUUGGACACACACAUCGAUCGCGCAGACGCAGCUUUCGACCGGCCAAGCACAAUAGCUGGCUCCC
rnacentral:lncRNA from 1 species